AGAAAAAUGAUAUUUUAACGUUUUUAAUAUUUUUGUUACAUUGGGAAUGAUAUUUCUUUCUAAUUUUAAAAAAUGGUUUACCAUAUUCUUUUUUUUCUGCCACCUUUCUUUUCAGGCAUUUCCUGCUUAUCCAAAUUCAGCAGUUCAGGUCACCACUGGAUAUCAGUUCCAUGUAUACAAUUACCAGAUGCCACCGCAGUGGCCUGUUGGGGAGCAAAGGAGACAUAUCCUACUUAUCCAAAUUCACCAGGUCAGGUCACCACUGGGUGUCAGUUGCCUGUAUAUAAUUAUCAGAAAUCUGUGGACCGAAGCUUACAAAUGGUGGUAUCUUGUCUGUUUAAUCCAGAGAAGAGACUGAUAAAUUCCGUUGUUACUCAAGAUGACUGCUUCAAGGGUAAAAGAGUGCAUCGCUUUAGAAGAAGUUUGGCAGUAUUUAAAUCUGUUGGAUCCUCUCAGCUAUCUAGUUUCAUGGGAAGUUGCUGGUUUUGAAUAUUAAGCUAAAAGUUUUCCACUAUUACAGAAAUUCUGAAUUUUGGUAAAUCACACUGGGUAUAACUUGUAUUAUUAGACUCUCUAUUUUUAUCUUAACACUGAAACUGUUCUUCAUUAGAUGUUUAUUUAGAACCUGGUUCUGUGUUUAAUAUAUAGUUUAAAGUAACAAAUAAUCGCGACUGAAAGAAUGUUAAGAUUUAUCUGCAAGGAUUUUUAAAAAAUUGAAACUUGGAUUUUAAGUGUUUAAAAGCAAAUACUGAUUUUCAAAAAAGUUUUUAAAACCUGAUUUGAAAGCUAAGAAUUUUGAUAGUCUGAACACAAGCAUUUCACUUCUCCAAGAAGUACCUGUGAACAGUACAAUAUUUCAGUAUUGAGCUUUGCAUUUAUGAUUUAUCUAGAAAUUUACCUCAAAAGCAGAAUUUUUAAAACUGCAUUUUUAAUCAGUGGAACUCAAUGUAUAGUUAGCUUUAUUGAAGUCUUAUCCAAACCCAGUAAAACAGAUUCUAAGCAAACAGUCCAAUCAGUGAGUCAUAAUGUUUAUUCAAAGUAUUUUAUCUUUUAUCUAGAAUCCACAUAUGUAUGUCCAAUUUGAUUGGGAUAGUAGUUGGGAUAACUAAAAUUCUGGGCCUAAUUUUUUAAAGGAUCCAAGACAAACUAAACUUUACGGGGUAUAUAACCUUCUCAAUGAGUUACCAUUCUUCUUUUUUAUAAGAAAAAUUGUUCCUUGAAAUGCUAAACUUAAUGGCUGUAUGUGAAAUUUGCAAAAUACUGGUAUUAAAGAAUGCUGCAGCUUUUUUAUGUCACUCAAAGGUCAGUCAGAGUAUCUGAAAGGAAUUGUUUUUAUAAAAACAUUGAAGUAUUAGUUACUUGCUAUAAAUAGAUUUUUAUUUUUGUUUUUUAGCCUGUUAUAUUUCCUUUUGUAAAAUAAAAUAUGUCCAGAAGAGGCAAAAUAGGUAGUUUUGGUAUUUCUAAAUCACGAAAGUUGUUUAGUAAGUAUAUCUUAAGAAUCUGCUAGAGUUAAAGUUAAUGUUGUUUCUAGAUUAGGUAGUGUCCUCAUUUUAUAUUGUGACCACACAGCUAGAGCACCAGAGCCCUUUUGCUAUACUCACAGUCUUGUUUUCCCAGCCUCUUUUACUAGUCUUUCAGGAGGUUUGCUCUUAGAACUGGUGGUAUAAAGAAUGGAAGUAGCUGUAUGAGCAGUUCAAAGGCCAAGCCGUGGAAUGGUAGCAAUGGGAUAUAAUACCUUUCUAAGGGAAACAUUUGUAUCAGUAUCAUUUGAUCUGCCAUGGACAUGUGUUUAAAGUGGCUUUCUGGCCCUUCUUUCAAUGGCUUCUUCCCUAAAACGUGGUGACUCUAAGUUAAUGUCGUUACUAUGGGCCAUAUUACUAAUGCCCACUGGGGUCUAUGAUUUCUCAAAAUUUUCAUUCUGAAUCCGAAGGAUAGAGUCUUUAAACUUUAGAAUUCCCAAGAGGGCUUUAUUACACCUCAGAAAUUGAAAGCACCAUGAAUUUGUCUAUUAAAAAAUUAUCCAUAGUUUUUUUAGGGCUUUUAACAUUCUGACAUGCAUCAUUCUGUGAUUAAAUCUCCAGAUUUCUAUAAAUGAUACCUAUAUUCUAAAGAGUUAAUUCUAAUUAUUCCGAUAUGACCUUAAGGAAAAGUAAGGGAAUAAAUUUUUGUCUUUGUUGGAGUGAAGUAUUUAAUAGAGUAAGGUAAAGAAGAUAUUAAGUCCCUUUCAAAAUGGAAAAUUAAUUCUAAACUGAGAAAAAUGUUCCUACUACCUAUUGCUGAUACUGUCUUUGCAUAAAUGAAUAAAAAUAAACUUUUUUUCUU
rnacentral:sRNA from 1 species